AGAGUUGGCGAGGCGAUUACGGGUCGGCAUGACUGGCCCGAGGAAAGUCCGGGCUCCCGAAAGACCAGACUUGCUGGGUAACGCCCAGUGCGGGUGACCGUGAGGAUAGUGCCACAGAAACAUACCGCCGAUGGAGCGAUCGCUCACAGGUAAGGGUGCAAAGGUGCGGUAAGAGCGCACCAGCAGCAUCGAGAGGUGCUGGCUCGGUAAACCCCGGUCGGGAGCAAGGUCGCAGAGGCAAGGGUUGGUCUUUUUCCUGUCUCGCUGUUGGUGUACCGCAAGAGGCGGUUGGUAACAGCCGUCCCAGAUAGAUAAUCGCCCUCUCGGCUUGCCUGAGAGAACAGAACCCGGCUUAUGUCUGACUCUUCCC
rfam:Lyngbya confervoides BDT141951 scaffold_0, whole genome shotgun sequence.